UGGGCUGGAAUGAGGAGAUUUCUUCAUCCAAAGAAUUACAGGAUUUUGUAGGAAUCCCUUCUAAGCAUUUAAAGCAUUCCAUUUUGCAGAUCCCAUGUUUCAAAGCUCUCUGGCUCUGUUUUCUGCAGGGUGAAACGCAAGCAAAACACUCAUCUUCCUUUCCAAAGACUUAAUGGUUUGCUUCCAGCCUCCCAAUUAUUAAUCUGACUGGAAGAUCAGAGCAUAUUUCAAAAGAAAAGGACAAAAGAACAAAAUAAGAACAGAUGGAAAGAACAGACGGAGGCUACUAGAGUGAGCUUCACCAUCAUAGCUGCCACCCACCAAUUCCUGGGACCCCAGGCCUUCAUCCUCCUGAUUCUAAAAAGUGCCCUUAUCAAAACAGGCCAGAAAAAGAGGGAUGCAGACAAUAUCACCACCUCUACCAUCUUCAGCUGAACUCCCGGGAUGUUAUUACCAUCUUUAAUACCAUCUAAGAGACUGUCAAACACUUUUUUUCCUUCUAAAACUCUCUCCAGCUAAAGAGAAAUGGAGCAAGAAAUGUUGUUACAGUGAAAGCCUUAUUUAAUACUUUGCAUUUCCAAUGUUUUAACUGUUUUUCUUCUUUUC